GCAGGAGGGCUCCAAAGGUACUUGCCAGUAUCCUUUGCACAUAUCCAGUGUGGUGAUGUACGUGGCAGAUCCAAUUCUCUCCAGCAGGUCAUCAAUUCUCGGCAUGGGAUAGGCGUCAAACUCUGAAAUGGCGUUCAGCUUUCGGAAAUCGAUGCAGGGCCGUAGUGAGCCAUCCUUUUUGGUUAGGAGGACCAUUGGGCUACACCACUCUGAUUCUGAUGGCUCGAUCACCCCCAUCUCCAGCAUGGUUGUGAUCUCCUCCUUCAGUUUCCCAACCAGCUGCUGAGGAACACGGGACGGUGCCUCCUGGAACACUUGUAGAAGGUCUGAUGCUUGGUCUGGUGCCCACCGUCGCCACCUGAUUCUGAGGUUCUUUCCAUCUCUUUAGUAGGUUGACAUGGAUUAACAUUCCCAACAUCCAUCACCUUGGCAAACAGGGGCUCCAAUGUGCUAUCUUGCUUCUGUAAUUCCACAAUAUUUUCAGCAAACACAUCAACACUGGCAAGUCCCUCCCCAAAAGAAGGUCCACAGGCAGAUUAUCUACCACCCCAACAGUCAGAAAAUAAGGCUGCUCAUCGAUUAACACAGUUAUUUCAGUCUGAGGUUGGUUCCAGCUCAUUUCUGGUCCCUGUGCUGGUGAUACCUGGAGGAUGUCGUACUGUUGCUCCCCGUUGUGUCCAGACCUGCGAUAUCGGAAGGGCUGGAGGCCGUACGUUGGUGGUGGGUCGAGCCAAGGUGGUGGUUCUCACCUCUGGCGACAGGACGCGAAGAAGUUGCUCCAGGAUGAUGGCCUCCCCGAUCUGCUCUUUGGUCCGUUGCUCCGGCUGAAUC